rnacentral:rRNA from 1 species
CUCGGAUUAAUACCGCGUGUGGUUCUGCAGGACAUCCUGUGGAAACUAAAGGUGGCGCAAGCUGCCGCUUCCAGAUGGGCUCGCGGCCUAUCAGCUUGUUGGUGAGGUAACGGCUCACCAAGGCUCCGACGGGUAACUGGUCUGAGAGGAUGAUCAGUCACACUGGAACUGAGACACGGUCCAGACACCUACGGGUGGCAGCAGUCGAGAAUCAUUCGCAAUGGGCGAAAGCCUGACGGUGCGACGCCGCGUGGAGGAUGACGGCCCUCGGGUUGUAAACUCCUGUCAUCAGAGAGUAAGGCUCUUGCGAGUAACUGCGCAGGAGAUUGAUAGUAUCUGAAGAGGAAGGGACGGCUAACUUCGUG